UGGGGAAUAUUGCACAAUGGGGGAAACCCUGAUGCAGCGACGUCGCGUGAGCGAAGAAGGCCUUCGGGUCGUAAAGCUCUGUCCUAUGGGAAGAAAAGGACGGUACCAUAGAAGGAAGCCCCGGCUAACUACGUGCCAGCAGCCGCGGUAAUACGUAGGGGGCGAACGUUAUCCGGAAUGAUUGGGCGUAAAGGGUACGUAGGCGGCACUUUAAGUCAGGUGUGAAAGGCAUGGGCUCAACCCAUGUAAGCACUUGAAACUGGAGCGCUUGAGGGAAGGAGAGGAAAGUGGAAUUCCUAGUGUAGCGGUGAAAUGCGUAGAUAUUAGGAGGAAUACCGGUGGCGAAGGCGACUUUCUGGACUUUUUCUGACGCUGAGGUACGAAAGCGUGGGGAGCAAACAGG
rnacentral:rRNA from 1 species